rnacentral:rRNA from 1 species
AUUGAACGCUGGCGACAUGCCUCACACAUGCAAGUCGAACGGCAGCACGGGAGCAAUCCUGGUGGCGAGUGGCGAACGGGUGAGUAAUACAUCGGAACGUGCCCAAUCGUGGGGGAUAACGCAGCGAAAGCUGUGCUAAUACCGCAUACGAUCUACGGAUGAAAGCAGGGGAUCGCAAGACCUUGCGCGAAUGGAGCGGC